rnacentral:rRNA from 1 species
GACGAACGCUGGCGGCGUGCCUAAUACAUGCAAGUAGAACGCAGUUGCGAACGGGUGAGUAACGCGUAGGUAACUACCUAUUAGGGGGGGAGAACUAUAGGAAACGAUAGCUAAUACCGCCUACUAGUAUGUGGAUCUGCGUUGUAUUAGCUAGUAGGUAGGGUAAAGGCCUACCUAGGCAACGAUACAUAGCCGACCUGAGAGGGUGAUCGGCCACACUGGGAAUGAGACACGGCCCCGACUCCUUCGGGAGGCAGCAGUAGGGAAUUUUUGGAAAUGGGGGGAACCCUGACCGAGCAACGCCGCGUGAGUGAAGAAGGUUUUCGGAUCGUAAAGCUCUGUUGUUAAGGAAGCGGUACUUAACCAGAAAGGGACGGCUAACUCCGUGCCAGCAGCCGCGGUAAUAC